AUUGAACGCUGGCGGCAUGCCUUACACAUGCAAGUCGAACGGCAGCACGGGUGCUUGCACCUGGUGGCGAGUGGCGAACGGGUGAGUAAUAUAUCGGAACGUACCUUGUAGUGGGGGAGUAGCUCGGCGAAAGCCGGAUUAAUACCGCAUACGCUCUGAGGAGGAAAGCGGGGGACCGUUCGGGCCUCGCGCUACAAGAGCGGCCGAUAUCAGAUUAGCUAGUUGGUGGGGUAAAGACUUACCAAGGCGACGAUCUGUAGCUGGUCUGAGAGGACGACCAGCCACACUGGGACUGAGACACGGCCCAGACUCCUACGGGAGGCAGCAGUGGGGAAUUUUGGACAAUGGGCGAAAGCCUGAUCCAGCAAUGCCGCGUGUGUGAAGAAGGCCU
rnacentral:rRNA from 1 species